GUCUAGGGCCAUACCACCCUGAAUGGAUCUGAUCUUGGAAGCUAAGCAGAAUUGGGCCUAGUUAGUACUUGGAUGGGAGAAGUGACAUUUAAACUGAGACCUGAGUUAGCCAGAUG
ensembl:rRNA 5S_rRNA 5S ribosomal RNA